UACGUAGGGUCCAAGCGUUAAUCGGAAUUACUGGGCGUAAAGCGUGCGCAGGCGGUUUUGUAAGACGGAUGUGAAAUCCCCGGGCUCAACCUGGGAACUGCAUUCGUGACUGCAAGGCUAGAGUGUGUCAGAGGGAGGUGGAAUUCCGCGUGUAGCAGUGAAAUGCGUAGAGAUGCGGAGGAACACCGAUGGCGAAGGCAGCCUCCUGGGAUAACACUGACGCUGAGGUGCGAGAGCGUGGGGAGCGAACCGG
rnacentral:rRNA from 1 species